ACCUGUAACUAAAAGCUGUGGGAGCAGCUGCUGCUCUGCUGGUGGGCUGUGUCUGUGUGAGGAGCUGAGGAUACCCCUAGACCCUGUGAGUGGAAUUUUCAUUUCACUGGUGUUGUAUGAAUUUGCCCUAAAUGUGGCUGUGGGUCUUUUGGAAAAGGAUUAGGUUCUCUGGUAACCAGAACUGUCUAUUUACUGCCCUAAAGACUGAGGCGCAAGCUGCUGCUGAAAGACACACAGGGAAUCUCAAAGAACUGUCACCUUGGAGCACCCUUGAAUGCUGCACUCUGCACCCCCAAUCUGGAUGCAUUAGGAGAGACUCAAUGGCACUUUUCUUUUACUUUGUAUCAAUGGGUGCAAAACGGCUUGAUUAAAAUUCUGCAAUGGCUGCAGAGAGGAGACUGAAAUUUUACAAGGUAGUGAAGAUAACACUCAGCACAGUGGGAGUUUCAACAAGGAGUUUAAAUAGACUGGGGGAGUGGGGUAUCAAAAUUCAAAACCAAAGAAUUCUGGGAAGCUGAGUGAUAAUAAAUGGUAAACCUGUGUUAGAAAAUACACACAAGUUGUGCUACUACCAACCUUGCCAGUUGGAGUAAGGCUCUAGUUACCCUAUUUAUCCAAAAUGCUUACACUAAUGUUGUUGAUCUGGAAUAUACCCCAAGUAUACAUUGUGUAUGGACACAGAGCAGCAAUGGUCUAUUGUUUUUGGUAAAACUGUGUUAAAAAGUGUUAAUUGAAUGGUAAUUUGUCAUUUCCUGCAAAGGUUUACUUAACCUGUUUGUAGCCAUUUUGUGACUUGCAGUCACUUUUUUAUGUAUUGUAUGCUUUUUUUGACACAUUUACAAAUAGUUUGCUCUUUUUCCUUUUUUUUUUCCUGGGGUGCAGGUACAUAACUGUUAAAUUAUACAUUUGGUGCUGCAAUGUGCAUAAUGCACAUAAUAUUCAGCAACUGUAAUGUUUUCUCAUGCUUAGCUUCUUGUCAUUUUGGAACAUAAUAUUGUGCUUUAUACAGUAUAUAAUUAUUAUAUGCAGCACUGAACUUCUUUUUAAGGUGCAAACAAUCUCCUCCUUUAGAAGCAUAUAAUGCCUGAGGCACAGGGACAUUUCAUGACUUAUCUGCUUUCUAAAUAUGUGCAGACAUGUAAGGAUUUCAUUAUCUAUAUUGCUUAAACACAAACUGAUAUGAAUUAAAGUUUUUAUAUUUAAAAUUACAUUUGCUUUUGGUUU